UACGAAGGGGGCUAGCGUUGCUCGGAAUUACUGGGCGUAAAGCGUACGUAGGCGGCUUGUUAAGUCGGGGGUGAAAUCCUGGAGCUCAACUCCAGAACUGCCUUCGAUACUGGCGAGCUCGAGUUCGGGAGAGGUGAGUGGAACUGCGAGUGUAGAGGUGAAAUUCGUAGAUAUUCGCAAGAACACCAGUGGCGAAGGCGGCUCACUGGCCCGAUACUGACGCUGAGAUGCGAAAGCGUGGGGAGCAAACAGG
rnacentral:rRNA from 1 species